UACGAAGGGGGCUAGCGUUGCUCGGAAUCACUGGGCGUAAAGCGCACGUAGGCGGAUCUUUAAGUCAGGGGUGAAACUCCUGGAGCUCAACUCCAGAACUGCCUUUGAUACUGGGGAUCUCGAGUCCGGAAGAGGUCGAGUGGAACUCCGAGUGUAGAGGUGAAAUUCGUAGAUAUUCGGAAGAACACCAGUGGCGAAGGCGGCUCACUGGUCCGGACCGU
rnacentral:rRNA from 1 species